rnacentral:rRNA from 1 species
GGGCCCGCACAAGCGGUGGAGCAUGCGGUUUAAUUCGAUGCAACGCGAAAAACCUUACCUACCCUUGACAUCCUUGGAAUCUUUUAGAGAUAGAAGAGUGCCUUCGGGAACCAAGUGACAGGUGCUGCAUGGCUGUCGUCAGCUCGUGUCGUGAGAUGUUAGGUUAAGUCCUGUAACGAGCGCAACCCCUAUCCUUAGUUGCCAGCACGUAAUGGUGGGAACUCUAAGGAAACUGCCGGUGACAAACCGGAGGAAGGUGGGGACGAGGUCAAGUCAUCAUGGCCCUUACGGGUAGGGCUACACGCGUGCUACAAUGGACAGUACAAAGGGAAGCAAUAUCGCGAGAUGGAGCAAAUCCCAAAAAGCUGUUCUCAGUCCGGAUUGGAGUCUGCAACUCGACUCCAUGAAGUAGGAAUCGCUAGUAAUCGC